rnacentral:tRNA from 1 species
UCCACUACUCAGUUGGUAGAGUACAAAGCCCUUAAACCUUGUGGACGUGGGUUCAAGCCCCAUGGUGGAG